rnacentral:rRNA from 1 species
AGCAGCCGCGGUAAUUCCAGCUCCAAUAGCGUAUAUUAAAGUUGCUGCAGUUAAAAAGCUCGUAGUUGAAUUUCGGGACCAUCAUGUUGGUCGUGCCUCGGUACGUACUGGCAUUGUUGGUUUCUCCCUUCUGACGAACCAUGAUGUCAUUUAUUUGGUGUCGUGGGAAAUCAGGACUGUUACUUUGAAAAAUUGGAGUGUUUAAAGCAGGCUCACGCUUGAAUACAUUAGCAUGGAAUAAUGAAAUAGGACGUUUUGAUUCUAUUUUGUUGGUUUCUAGGAUCGACGUAAUGAUUAAUAGGGAUAGUUGGGGGCAUUAGUAUUCAAUUGUCAGAGGUGAAAUUCUUGGAUUUAUUGAAGACUAACUACUGCGAAAGCAUUUGCCAAGGAUGUUUUCAUUAAUCAAGAACGAAAGUUAGGGGAUCGAAGACGAUCAGAUACCGUCGUAGU